rnacentral:rRNA from 1 species
UACAGGGGGUGCAAACGUUGCUCGGAAUCAUUGGGCGUAAAGCGCACGUAGGCGGUUCGUUAUGUCGGAUGUGAAAGCCCUUGGCUUAACCGAGGAAGUGCAUCCGAAACUGGCGAGCUAGAGUACGAAAGAGGAUCGCGGAAUUCCCGGUGUAGAGGUGAAAUUCGUAGAUAUCUGGAGGAACACCGGUGGCGAAGGCGGCAUCCUGGACCGGCAUUGACGCUGAGGCGCGAAAGCCAGGGGAGCAAACGGG